rnacentral:pre_miRNA from 1 species
UCUAGAACUUGAGAUAUGGGCUGAACACUGAACAAUGUCUGGGCUGCAGGACAGAUUCUGACUUCUCUAUUGUUGCUACAAUUUGGACUUGAAAACGGUUAUUUUGAAUCUUUGACUCUUCAUGAAAGUUUUAGGCCUAUGUCUUAGCUUUCUAUU